CGGAAUUCCCCCCUCCCCCUUUCGCGUGAACGCGCACGAACUCAAUUCAUCGACUUGCUUGCUCGUUGGAAUUUUCUGAUCGCGUUAGGCUGCAUUUUUUAAAAUGUAUUUUAGACGUCGGUUUGAUCGCGGUGGAGUCACUGGGCCUGUGUAAGGGGUGCGUACUGGGGGCAGAGAAGUCAGACGCAGGAGAGCAAAAACUGAGUUUCCAAACGGCGCAGUUUAAUAACAAAAAAUCCACCGGAAAGGAAAACAGAACAAUCAAAUACUGGGUACAUAACCCGACGCACACCAGGACAGACGGGCACAAGCACUUACAAUAAACAAUCACCGACAAGGACAUGAGGGGGAACAGAGGGUAAAAUACACAACAUGUGAUUGAUGGGAUUGAAACCAGGUGUGAUGGAAGACGAGACAAAACCAACGGAAAAUGAAAAGAGGAUCAGCGAUGGCUAGAAGGUCGGCGACUUCGAACGCCGCCGGAACAAGGAGAGGGACCGACAUCUAUAUAGGAUGUUCUAUAAAGAUGUGAUGGUUUUCAUACAGGACUGGUGGAACCAUCGUGGGCAGCGGUCACAACCAAUCUGAAAUGUAUGAUGAAAAAUGUUAAAAUAUUAAAAACAAAUACAUGUU